rnacentral:rRNA from 1 species
GCAGUCGAACGAUGAACCACUUCGGUGGGGAUUAGUGGCGAACGGGUGAGUAACACGUGGGCAAUCUGCCCUUCACUCUGGGACAAGCCCUGGAAACGGGGUCUAAUACCGGAUACUGACCCUCGCAGGCAUCUGCGAGGUUCGAAAGCUCCGGCGGUGAAGGAUGAGCCCGCGGCCUAUCAGCUUGUUGGUGAGGUAAUGGCUCACCAAGGCGACGACGGGUAGCCGGCCUGAGAGGGCGACCGGCCACACUGGGACUGAGACACGGCCCAGACUCCUACGGGAGGCAGCAGUGGGGAAUAUUGCACAAUGGGCGAAAGCCUGAUGCAGCGACGCCGCGUGAGGGAUGACGGCCUUCGGGUUGUAAACCUCUUUCAGCAGGGAAGAAGCGAAAGUGACGGUACCUGCAGAAGAAGCGCCGGCUAACUACGUGCCAGCAGCCGCGGUAAUACGUAGGGCGCAAGCGUUGUCCGGAAUUAUUGGGCGUAAAGAGCUCGUAGGCGGCUUGUCACGUCGGUUGUGAAAGCCCGGGGCUUAACCCCGGGUCUGCAGUCGAUACGGGCAGGCUAGAGUUCGGUAGGGGAGAUCGGAAUUCCUGGUGUAGC